rnacentral:rRNA from 1 species
GAUGAACGCUGGCGGCGUGCCUAAUACAUGCAAGUCGAGCGCACGGAUGAGGUGCUUGCUCCUCUGAUGUUAGCGGCGGACGGGUGAGUAACACGUGUAUAACCUACCUAUAAGACUGGGAUAACUUCGGGAAACCAGAGCUAAUACCGCAUAAUAACUUGAACCGCAUGGUUCAAAAGUGAAAGACGCACUUGCUGUCAUUUAUAGAUGUAUCCGUGCUGCAUUAGCUAGUUGGUAAGGAAACGGCUUACCAAGGCAACGAUCCGUAGCCGACCUGAGAGGGUGAUCGGCCACACUGGAACUGAGACACGGUCCAGACUCCUACGGGAGGCAGCAGAAGGGAUUCUUCCGAAAUGGGCGAAGUCCUGACGGGGCAACGCCGGGUGAGGAAGGAAGGUCUUCGGAUCGAAAAACUCUGUGAUUAGGGAAGAACAUAGGGGGAAGGAACAGUGCACAUCUUGACGGUACCUAAUCAGAAAGCCACGGCUAACUACGUG